rnacentral:rRNA from 1 species
ACGGAGCAAGACCGCGUGAGGGAAGAAGGUCUGUGGAUUGUAAACCUCUUUUGAUAGGGAAGAAGACAGUGACGGUACCUAUCGAAUCAGCCUCGGCUAACUCCGUGCCAGCAGCCGCGGUAAUACGGAGGAGGCAAGCGUUAUCCGGAAUUAUUGGGCGUAAAGAGUCCGUAGGUGGGUCACCCAGUCAGCUGUUAAAUAGUGAAGCUUAACUUCAUAGAGGCGGCUGAAACUGGUGGUCUAGAGAGUGGUAGGGGUAGAGGGAAUUUCCAGUGUAGCGGUGAAAUGCGUAGAUAUUGGAAAGAACACCGGUGGCGAAAGCGCUCUACUGGGCCAUUACUGACACUGAGGGACGAAAGCUAGGGGAGCG